GACGAACCGUGCGAACGUUGUUCGGAUUCACUGGGCGUAAAGUGUGCGCAGGCGGCUUGGCAAGUCGAGUGUGAAAUCCCCGGGCUUAACUUGGGAAUUGCGCUCGAAACUACCUGGCUAGAGUGUGGCAGAGGAAGGUGGAAUUCCACGUGUAGCGGUGAAAUGUGUAGAGAUGUGGAGGAACACCGAUGGCGAAGGCAGCCUUCUGGGCCAACACUGACGCUCAUGCACGAAAGCGUGGGGAGCAAACAGG
rnacentral:rRNA from 1 species